UACGAAGGGGACUAGCGUUGUUCGGAAUCACUGGGCGUAAAGCGCACGUAGGCGGAUUUGUAAGUCAGGGGUGAAAUCCCGGGGCUCAACCUCGGAACUGCCUUUGAUACUGCGAAUCUUGAGUCCGAUAGAGGUGGGUGGAAUUCCUAGUGUAGAGGUGAAAAUUCGUAGAUAUUAGGAAAGAACACCGGUGGCGAAGGCGGCCCACUGGAUCGGUACUGACGCUGAGGUGCGAAAGCGUGGGGAGCAAACAGG
rnacentral:rRNA from 1 species